rnacentral:ncRNA from 1 species
ACCGUCCAGGGCAAACCCGUCGCGAGGCGGGGACGCAAAGCCAGGGGCCUCCGUUCCGCCGGAGGUAGCCCGGUUGCCGGGG